ensembl:lncRNA
GUGUGUUAUUGAUGUCUGUGAGUUGGUAUUGAUCGUUCGAUUGCGAGGGUAACAGGAUGGUCGGUCAUGUGAGCGCUGACAGUGCUGCUCAGAUAAAGGUUUAUAUUAUUAACGGAACAAUUAGCGCGCGCUGUCUCCCACCUGUUGUGUAAUCACAAUCACUGAGUGUGCGUGUGUGUUGGGGGGGGUCUGGGGCGCAUGUGUAUGUGUGUGUGUGUGUUUACCUGUGUUUGUGUAGGUGUAUGCCUGCGUGUAUACCUGUAUGUAUGUAUGUGCGUGUGUGUGCGUUUGUGCAUCUGUGUGCGCGCUCGCGGUAGGUUCCGGACUGUUUUGUGACAAACAUUGUCAUGGGUGUUGGAUUGAAGGAGAAAACUCACGCAGCACUGCGUUACUACGGCGACGAGGUUCAGACGGGUGGGGGUUGUGGUCCUGAUUUCACCUGGGGGUAGGCCUAUGCGUAAAUAUUUAGCUGCUUAGUUGUGAAAAUCUUAAAAAGCCAUCUUCUGCUUCAUUGGAUCCCAUUCGAACCUGACUUACGACCGUAGUGACAGGAAGGCUAUAUUUGAAAACGAUGUGACUGCACUCCCACAUUAUUUAACGCCCUGAUUCUUGAGAGAAUUAAUGCAUAAGAAUAUAUUCUCUUACUUUAAAAAACACUUCUCCUUGCAAAUAUUUUAUUAUGUCGAUUUACUAAGAUGGCAUUUGCGAUAUAUUUUUUAACGUUAGUAUUUUUGAAAAAUCUACCUAUCUAACCCCGGGGAAAUAAAAGUGUUUUUUUUUUUUUUAUUAUUAUUUAAUUUCGGGUCCGUUUUUAAUCUAAAAUCAUGCCGAUUGAUGUUGAUUUGACCUGAUCCUACAGCAAAGUAAUGCUUAACUAUAAGGAAAACCCUCUGGGUUGUGCUUGUUGAACCCUGAACCCUGAACGCUUUGACCUCGGUGGGGAGAGGUUUGACAGAAGGCGGUCUUUACAUGAAGUGUAAAUUUACCACGGUGCAGUCCUUUAACGAACAGGCACCCAAUGCACAAUGUGUCAUAUUUUUUUGCAAGAUGUGUGUUAAUUAUAUUUAAACUUGAGAAAAAAACAUAUUUAAACUGAGUAAACGAUUACAAUAUACUAAGAUAUACAUUUAACUUAUUUGGAAAAUAUUGUGUUGAAUUGAGGAUUUCUUAAGAACUUUGUGACCGGGUAUGAAAAAAAAGACAUAUGAUCUGUUUAUAUCUUAUUUAUGACUUUUAAGAUUAAAUAAUGCAGUGGCGAUUAGUGGUGUACAUUUUAGUACUUUUUAUCACACAAGACUAGGUAUCAUCGGUGGAAAACAGACCAAAGCACACCUUUAAGACAGGAUCAGGCAGGAGAAAUCCCAGAUACAAAUUCAGAAGCCAUCUUCUAACCCGAAUUUUGAUCCACACAGGAACAAUGGACCAACCCAUAGCGACUGGCUCAUUUUGUAAAAAUACCUGGACUCAGACAUUUGGAUAUUUUGCUAUGGCAACAGGGUCAGAUGAGCUGUCAUCUCUUUGUCCAAUCAGGGGAGAGGGUGUCCUCCACACCUGAGACAGGUAUGAGACGCCCUCAGGACCCGGUCUAGAUACAAGUGUUACCUUUCUGCAAACCAAGACUGGUCUCGGAUCAGGAUUGGUUGGCCAACGGCUGUACAGUGUUCUCUCCUCUCACCAAUAGCCACAAUUAUUCAGUUUAUUCACUUGAUAAUGUUUGUGAGUCCAUUGGGCUGGGUUGAAACGUAGUCCAUCCAUUAAUGAUAUUAUUACACAUGCCUAUUUCUGACAUCCAGUUCGGAUGGCCACAGUUGCCUUCCUCCCAGACGUGCAUUUACAUUGUUUGACCGCUAGAGGGCGGGAAUCCGAGUUCUGCAGAACUUGUCCCUUGGUGACGUCUCAGCUUUUACGGCAGCAUCUGCUUCCUGUCUCCUUGUCGACUUAUUUCAUGGCCGCUAAGAGCAGCACAGCAGUAAAGAUUAUAUAACAUAACUCUUAAUGAAAAUAAAGCGCUUCUAGGAAGUUAAGCUGGUCAAUUGAAUUGUUAUGUUGAACUUUAAUUUAAUUUAUUUUUUAUCCCCCUAGUGCACUUGUAUAUCCUUACUUAAGUACCAGGACAGCCCAGCCUCUCACUGGAGCCCAUAUAGGUGUCUGUAGGGUUUCCAUAGCGACAGAGGUCAACUGUUGACUUCAGUUGAUGUGACACAGGAAACUAAAAGAUGGCUGCCCCAUGAAUUUAAAUGCAAAACCCAGCCACCCCAUGAGAUUCCUCUUUGUUAUCUGUAUUGAUGUUUAUUGUCAACAUAUAGGCUAUUUUGAUAUAUUUGG